AUCCAGCUGACGAGUCCAAAAUAGAACGAAACGCUCAUUGUCCUGGAU
rnacentral:hammerhead_ribozyme from 1 species